rnacentral:rRNA from 1 species
UGGGGAAUUUUGGACAAUGGGGGAAACCCUGAUCCAGCCAUCCCGCGUGUGCGAUGAAGGCCUUCGGGUUGUAAAGCACUUUUGGCAGGAAAGAAACGUCGCGGGUUAAUACCCCGCGGAACUGACGGUACCUGCAGAAUAAGCACCGGCUAACUACGUGCCAGCAGCCGCGGUAAUACGUAAGGUGCAAGCGUUAAUCGGAAUUACUGGGCGUAAAGCGUGCGCAGGCGGUUCGGAAAGAAAGAUGUGAAAUCCCAGAGCUUAACUUUGGAACUGCAUUUUUAACUACCGGGCUAGAGUGUGUCAGAGGGAGGUGGAAUUCCGCGUGUAGCAGUGAAAUGCGUAGAUAUGCGGAGGAACACCGAUGGCGAAGGCAGCCUCCUGGGAUAACACUGACGCUCAUGCACGAAAGCGUGGGGAGCAAACAGGAUUAGAUACCCUGGUAGUCCACGCCCUAAACGAUGUCAACUAGCUGUUGGGGUCUUCGGACCUUGGUAGCGCAGCUAACGCGUGAAGUUGACCGCCUGGGGAGUACGGUCGCAAGAUUAAAACUCAAAGGAA